UUUGUUUAUUGAAGGUUGUCUAGACCUGAAGUCUUUUCCAGAAGACCUUGAACCGCUUCUUCCUUAUCUCAAAAAAAUGAGAAUAUGUGAAUGCCCAAUCUGGAGAGGAGGCUAUGCAAGCUUAGAGGAGAUUAUUACCACAAUCUCUCAACCAUCUCAUGUCGAGUAAAAGGAGAACAAGUUGUGAAACGCAUCAUCACUAUUUUCCAGAUUCUUUUCUUUUUUUAUUUUUUAAAAUACCCUUUCUUUGGUUUGUUGAACAUAUAUUUUGUCAUAUUUUUGGUAUUCUUGUCAGUGUUGACUGAAGCCCCUCUCUGGAAAAUUUGAAUUGAGAGAAUGGAGGAGGAAAAAAUGGCAGAGAUAUUUUCCUACACUUCAUUGGAUGUACAAGAGAAAGAUGCAUCUUUGCAAUUAAUGUACAAAAGCUCCUGUGGUGUGCCACAUGAUGGUUCUCAAUGAUAGAACUUCCCUUGAGUGUUUUAAUCCUUUUAUCCUGUGGGUGGAAUCAUUUUAGUACUUAUUAGUUAUCGAAACUGAGAGUAAAUUCAACUGUGGCAACUGGAAACUGCAUUCCUCCACAAGUUCUUCGCUCAACACCAAAUGAAAUAUACUCGAAAUCAUGUCCUCGGAAAUCUAAAUCUCUGUUCACAAAUUUAUCAGCCCUACUACAACUCAGUGUCCUUGAUGUUGUCAAGCACAUCUUAUGGCAUCUUCCUUUGUCAACACAGAACUUUUUUGCCCAUCGUCUUUGCCUUGUCUUGCAACUUCUUGGUUACUUUUGGAUUCCAAACGAGCACUGCCAGAGCACACUCCAAGAAUAUGCAUCAGGGACCGACCAAAGUUCAUUUUUAGAGAAGACGAUAUGCACCUGAUUCGUGUAUCUCUUUGUGCAAGAAUUUAGAGUUUCUUAUUCAUUGAUAGUUUGAAUGUGCAAUCAAUUCUCAGCAAAUAACCCUGGGAUGAUCAAAACUUGACAUGUUGAAGAACUAAAGGAUUCGUGAAAUGCUUUUUACCUUGUUGUUGCUGUUU